rnacentral:piRNA from 1 species
UGUGGUAGACGGGAGAGCCAAGACCCACACU